rnacentral:rRNA from 1 species
AUACGGAGGGUGCAAGCGUUACUCGGAAUCACUGGGCGUAAAGCGCGCGCAGGCGGUCUUUUAAGUUGGAUGUGAAAGCCUACGGCUCAACCGUAGAACUGCAUCCAAAACUAUUAGGCUAGAGUGUGGGAGAGGAAGAUGGAAUUAGUUGUGUAGGGGUAAAAUCCGUAGAGAUAACUAGGAAUACCAAAAGCGAAGGCAAUCUUCUGGAACACUACUGACGCUGAGGCGCGAAAGCGUGGGGAGCAAACAGGAUUAGAUACCCUAGUAGUCC